rnacentral:ncRNA from 2 species
GUAGCCUUGCCACUUCGAGGUUCUUCGGCCAGGCCGAAGCUAAGACGGGAACGCGGUACAAGCCGCGGCUGCCCCCGCAACUGUAAGCACCGACAACGGAUCGACACAGCCACUGCGCCCGCGCGCGGGAAGGCGUCAUCCCGCCAGACCGCUGCACCAGCGGGGCACAUGGAACGGUGCGAGCCAGGAGACCUGCCUCGUCACGUUUUCGACU